rnacentral:tRNA from 1 species
UCCCCGAUAGCUCAGUCGGUAGAGCGACGUACUGUUAAUCCGCAGGUCCCUGGUUCGAGCCCAGGUCGGGGAGCCA